rnacentral:rRNA from 1 species
AGUAACGGCGAGUGAAGCGGCAACAGCUCAAAUUUGAAAUCUGGCUCUUUCAGAGUCCGAGUUGUAAUUUGCAGAGGGCGCUUUGGCUUUGGCAGCGGUCCAAGUUCCUUGGAACAGGACGUCACAGAGGGUGAGAAUCCCGUACGUGGUCGCUAGCUAUUGCCGUGUAAAGCCCCUUCGACGAGUCGAGUUGUUUGGGAAUGCAGCUCUAAAUGGGAGGUAAAUUUCUUCUAAAGCUAAAUAUUGGCCAGAGACCGAUAGCGCACAAGUAGAGUGAUCGAAAGAUGAAAAGCACUUUGGAAAGAGAGUCAAACAGCACGUGAAAUUGUUGAAAGGGAAGCGCUUGCAGCCAGACUUGCUUGCAGUUGCUCAUCCGGGCUUUUGCCCGGUGCACUCUUCUGCAGGCAGGCCAGCAUCAGUUUGGGCGGUGGGAUAAAGGUCUCUGACACGUUCCUUCCUUCGGGUUGGCCAUAUAGGGGAGACGUCAUACCACCAGCCUGGACUGAGGUCCGCGCAUCUGCUAGGAUGCUGGCGUAAUGGCUGUAAGCGGCCCGUCUUGAAACACGGACCAAGGAGUCUAACAUCUAUGCGAGUGUUUGGGUGUCAAGCCCGAGCGCGUAAUGAAAGUGAACGGAGGUGGGAACCCGCAAGGGCGCACCAUCGACCGAUCCUGAAGUUUACGGAAGGAUUUGAGUAAGAGCAUGGCUGUUGGGACCCGAAAGAUGGUGAACUAUGCUUGAAUAGGGUGAAGCCAGAGGAAACUCUGGUGGAGGCUCGCAGCGGUUCUGACGUGCAAAUCGAUCGUCAAA